UAGUUCUCGGCGGACACAACAUCUUUGUUUGUAUGUGGUACUGAGGAUCGAACCUGGGCCGCACGCAUGCCAGUCGAGCGCGCUACCACUUGAGCCACAUCCCCAGCCCAUCAGAAGAGGAAGAAGAAGAAAGAAAAUAACUCAUUUACCCAUAAUUAUGUGUCUGACAAGAAAGAUUUCCCUCUGGCCUGGAACACCUACAUGGCUUCUCCCACCACAAGAACAUUUUACACAUAGCAGAUCCAAGGGGAACUCCCUCACUAAAAGAUAAGCAAUUAUCAAAACCUGUCAGCACAGGACUUAUAUGAAAGUAAUAAAAGGAAAAAAGAGGAAACAUGAACAGGAAACAAACAGCAGUCAAAAAGCAGUAAUGCCAGAGAGCAGAUAAAACUGAUCAAACACAAUGACAUUACAAUUAUAAUGCACAAAUAAAAAAUGUGAAAAAAAAAAACCAAUGACAUCAGAAACAUGAAAUGAGGAAAUACCUUUGUAAAUAUGAGCUCAAAACAGAGAUAUAAAAGCAGAAAGAAAACGUGGAGGGCCACAGAAGAAAAUGGAACUCAAAGAAAAUACUUAAAAGUGGAAUAGAAAAAAUAAAACUAUCACAGACCAUACUGACAGUAACACAUGUAAGAUACCACUGAAUGGGGCUGGGGUUGUGGCUCAGUGGUAGAGUGCUCGCCUGGCACGGGCAAGGCCCUGGGUUCGAUCCUCAGCACCACAUAAAAAUAAAUAAAUUAAUUAACGAUAUUGUAUCCAACUACAACUGAAAAAUAAAUACUUAAGAAACAGAAAAGAUACCACUGAAAACACAGUAAAGAGUGUGGAGGAAAGCAAAGCAAAUAAAAUGACAAUGAGCAAAAAAGUUAAAAAGAAUUAGAUAGAAAAUGAUAAAUAUAAAAUAGAGUCAAAAGAGAUCCCACAUAUGUAUAACUGGUUUCCCUAAAAAAGGGAUUUAAAAUUAUAAAACAAAAAAUUUUCAAUUAAUCAAGAAAACUUUCCAGAAAUACAAAUGGAUUAAUAUACACUGAUAAGGAACUGUCAACAAUGAAACACACUCCAAUAACUUAUUAGGCUUUGAAGCUACCAAAAAAAAAAAAAAAAAAAAAAUCUGGUCUUCAAGGAGCAAAGAUACUGUAUACUAUGCUUCUAUUUGUGUAAAUAAGUAAAUGAGGGCUGGGGAUAUAGCUCAGUCCAUAGAGUGCUUGCUUUGCAUGCACAAGGACCUGGGUUCAGCACCACACACACACAAAAAGCAAAUUAAACACAUAUUCAUAAAACAACACAAGAAAUUGGUAACAGUGUUUUUUAAAUUAAAAAAAAAUUUUUUUGGUACUGGGGAUUGAGCCCAGGAGCACUUAACCACUGAGCCACACCCCCAGCCCUUUUUUGUAUUUUAUUUUAAGACAGGGUCUCACUGAGUUGCUUAGCACCUCACUAAAUUGCUGAGGUUGACUUUGAACUCGAGAUCCUCCUGCCUCAGCCUCUCAAGCUAUUGGGAUUAAAGGUGUGCACCACCGUGCCCAGCUGUUAACAGUUUUUCCUGAAUGAUCCACUGAAACACUUAAUGCUAGAAGAGAAUGAGCAUAAUACUUUUUUUUUUUAAUGUUUAUUUUCUAAGUUUUUAGGUGGACACAAUAUCUUUAUUUUACAUUUAUGUGGUGCUGAGGAUCAAACCCAGUGCCUCAUGCAUGCUAGGCAAGCACUCUACCACUGAGCCACAACCCCACCCCUAACCAUAAUAUUUUUAAGGAAAAAAAUUCCAAAUUUUAUAACCAAACUAUUAACCAAAUAUAAAGGUCAAAGACAAACAUUUCUGACUUCAUGCAUGCAUUCAAAAGAUAAAAAAGAAAAAUAUAAGUAGGGUAGGAAUGCACCUCUAAUCUAUUUAACUACAGUACUAAAAACAACCCAAAAAACAACUGUGGGGUUUAUAACUGUAAAACAGAAAGUAAACAUUAUAAAUUGGCAUGUGGUUGGAAGGGUUUUUGUGAAAGAAGAUGAGAAAUAAUUUAAGCAUGCUACUCUCCUCAUCUCUAAGGUUAAAGAACAGAAGUUAGACUUGAUAAAUAAAAUAUAUUUAAAGGCAUAAAGAUCAAUACUAAGAAAAAUAAUAAAGUUGAAAGGUAAAGGGAAGAGAAAAAUAAUCAAUUUCAACUUUGCUCUUAGUAGGGAAUCAAAAAAAAAAACACAUGAAAA